rnacentral:rRNA from 1 species
UACGUAGGUGGCAAGCGUUUGUCCGGAGUUAUUGGGCGUAAAGCGCGCGCAGGCGGUGCGGUAAGUCUCUGGUGAAAGCGCUCGGCUUAACUGGGCGAGGGCCGGGGAGACUGCCACGCUGGAGGGGAGCAGAGGCGAGUGGAAUUCCGGGUGUAGUGGUGAAAUGCGUAGAGAUCCGGAGGAACACCAGUGGCGAAGGCGGCUCGCUGGGCUCUACCUGACGCUGAGGCGCGAAGGCGUGGGGAGCGAACCGG